UUUCUAUCCACCUCCUCCAUGUAGCCUUCUCUCACCAUCCCAGCCCAAGAUGAUCUCAUCUGUCAUUCCUCACUGAUUAUCAAGCAUCAUUUAUUAUCCUUUUGUGUCCAGUUUCUUUGCAUCUCCAGGCCAUGACUUAUACAUUUUGGCCUCAAAUUCCUGCUGACCAGGGGGUCUGCCCCUCCUCCCUCCUCACCCAUCAGGAAGAUCUGCUGAGCAUCUCCGGGGUGGAGAAAGGACCAUCACACCACAACAACGGUAAUCAACUCUGGAAUGGAAAAGACUGGCGGCAUGUCCAGGAUAAAGAGGAGCCCAGGUUGUGCUGUUAGGCCUUGAACAAGUACCAGCAGGCAUGCCCAUCAAAGAUGCAGUACUUGCUCCGGAUGUCCCUGAGGCUGAGAUGGGAGGGCAAGAGCUGACGCGCCUACUUCUUCCUAGAGGCCAAGGUCCCAGCCAAGUAGAAGGCAGAAAAGAAACAGCAGUUACAAGUGUGCAACCCCUUUCUCCCCGCUCCCCCCACUCGCUGCUUGGACUGAACAGAAUCCAGAAAACUGAGGGAGAAUCCGGCUGAGUGGACCUGGAGUCUGCAGGGACCGAGUUGAAACAACCUUCACUGGGCGUGGUUGGCGCCCAACCUGGGAGGAAUCAGUGUGAGAUUCUGGCGCCACCUAGACGUCAGGGUGGGGAUUGCAAGCAUAGCGGGGAUGGCGACUCCCAGGGAAAUUUGGGCAGUUCAUCCCUGGGUCAUAUCCUGGGAUGAGAGGCCCACGUCAGGCAGCCCCUCCCUUCAGAUGGACACUGUGUGUGACCACUGUGUGAACGAGUGUAACAAGUGUAAGGUGUGGUUCUGAGAAGGGCCUGGGAGGGGACUGGGACCCCAGCCCUUGGCUGAGACUCUCGUCUCCACCCAGUCUGUCCUCCACGUUGGCUUAGUGUGGCCUUUCAACACCAUGCCAGAGUCUCCCGAGCCUGUUGACCACUCAUGACCUUCUUCCGAGACCCUAAUACCCAUUCUUGCGCAGUCUCCCUCCCUCCCAGCCCCUCUCAGAACUGUUUUCUUGGGUGUGGUGCUGACCUAGACCACGGGACUUGGGUGAAACCCCAGCUCUGACCCUGUACUGUCUGCAUGGGUUUAUUCCCAUACGAGGAAGUUCCUUCUUCUGGGCUGGUAUAGCCU
ensembl:lncRNA